CGCAGCCGACUCGUUCAGCACCUCCUGUUAACAAAACACACAAGGGAAACCGUUAAGUGUUUGGGUUCCGGGGGGAGUAUGGUCGCAAGGCUGAAACUUAAAGGAAUUGACGGAAGGGCACCACCAGGAGUGGAGUUUGCGGCUUAAUUUGACUCAACACGGGGAAACUCACCAGGUCCAGACAUGGGAAGGAUUGACAGAUUGAGAGCUCUUUCUUGAUUCCGUGAAAGGUAGCGCAUGGCCGUUCUUAGUUGGUGGAGUGAUUUGUCUGGUUAAUUCCGUUAACGAACGAGACCUUGGCCUGCUAACUAGUUGCGGGGGUUAUUUUUUGACAAGCAAUUGCCAAAGCGCGACUCCAUGCAGACCAGCAAUGGUCGCCGCACUUCUUAGAGGGACAAUCUGCGUUUUUAGCAGAGGGAAGCUAAAGGCUAUAACAGGUCUGUGAUGCUCUUAGAUGUCCUGGGCUGCACGCGUACUACACUGACGAACGCAACGAGUGUUUUUGUUUUGGGCCCUUAAGCAAUUUUGGGUGCAAAUCUCCUUGGCCGAAAGGUCUUUUGGGUAAUCUUGUGAACGUUCAUCAUUUUUUGUUUAUCGUGAUGGGGAUAGAUGAUUGUAAUUAUUCGUCUUGAACGAGGAAAUCCUAGUAAGUGUG
rnacentral:rRNA from 1 species